rnacentral:rRNA from 1 species
GAUCAUGGCUCAGGAUGAACGCUAGCGACAGGCCUAACACAUGCAAGUCGAGGGGCAGGCGAAGAGGUAGCAAUACCUUUGUCGGCGACCGGCGCACGAGUGAGUAACACGUAUGCAAUCCACCUGUAACAGGGGGAUAACCCGGAGAAAUCCGGACUAAUACCCCAUAAUAUGGGCGCUCCGCAUGGAGAGCCCAUUAAAGAGAGCAAAUUUUGGUUACAGACGAGCAUGCG